rnacentral:rRNA from 1 species
UACGGGGGGGGCAAGCGUUGUUCGGAAUUACUGGGCGUAAAGGGCUCGUAGGCGGCCAACUAAGUCAGACGUGAAAUCCCCAGGCUUAACCUGGGAACUGCGUCUGAUACUGGAUGGCUUGAAUUCGGGAGAGGGAUGCAGAACUCCAGGUGUAGCGGUGAAAUGCGUAGAUAUCUGGAGGAAUACCGGUGGCGAAGGCGGCAUCCUGGACCGACAUUGACGCUGAGGCUCGAAAGCGUGGGGAGCAAACAGG